rnacentral:misc_RNA from 1 species
GGCAUACAUGACUAUACUUGAUGUUUUAUGGAAUAUGCAGUUUUAUAUUGCCAUUAUUACUUGUCAUGUUAAUGAUUAAUGUCUCAGGGUUAGAGCUUUUAGAUAAAUUAUGAUGGAGGGAUUUGUGUUUGUCUCAUCAUUGACCUUAGGCUGCUUUUGUUGGUGAAGUAUUUAUUUGGGAUAGAAUAGAUUGAUUUGUGUUAAUGGUUGUUCAAAUGGUAACUGAA